GCGGAAUCCAGACUAGGAAAAUAAUUGACACAGCUGAGAGGGUUGGUUCAUCACUGUUUUAGUACAUAACAAUCUAAAAUCACCAAAGCUUAGAAGAAAGUGUCCACGCGGACUAAUAUCAACCUCCGCGGGCUUCUCUUCUGGUCGCAUCAUGAAGGAUUUCAGUGUCCACGCCGUCAGGGGGGAGUUGGACAUACCUCACCACAGAACCUCUGAUAAAGCAGUUCCGGACUGAUAGCAUGUGGGGGUACUUGUCCUGAUCGACGACCCUGGUGUUCUCGAGCUUGAUGUUGAGGUACUGAUCCACCGAGUGAAGGGUCCCCCU
rnacentral:misc_RNA from 1 species